rnacentral:rRNA from 1 species
AAGAGUUCUGGGCCGCACGCGCGCUACACUGACAGAAGCCAGCGAGUCUCUACCUUGGCCGAAAGGUCUGGGUAAUCUUGUGAAACUCUGUCGUGCUGGGGAUAGAGCAUUGCAAUUAUUGCUCUUCAACGAGGAAUUCCUAGUAAGCGUGAGUCAUCAGCUCGCGUUGAUUACGUCCCUGCCCUUUGUACACACCGCCCGUCGCUACUACCGAUUGAAUGGCUUAGUGAGACCUCCGGAUCGGCAUCGGAAAGCCGGCAACGGCAUUCCUUUGAUGAGAAGCUGGUCAAACUUGGUCAUUUAGAGGAAGUAAAAGUCGUAACAAGGUUUCCGUAGGUGAACCUGCGGAAGGAUCAUUAGCGAAGUCAAGUCCGGAUCUGUAGGGAUUGCAGCUGGCCUAACGGCAUGUGCUCGUCCCUUGGGUCUGUGACCUUCACUACCACACCCCACUGUGAACCAAGCGGGAGGUCGAAAGGCCUCUUGCAUCUUAUACAAACCCCAAUCGCAUGUAUUAGAAUGUCAUAGCGUUAACUCGCAACUAUACAACUUUCAACAACGGAUCUCUUGGCUCUCGCAUCGAUGAAGAACGCAGCGAAAUGCGAUAAGUAAUGUGAAUUGCAGAAUUCAGUGAAUCAUCGAAUCUUUGAACGCACCUUGCACCCCUUGGUAUUCCGAGGGGUACGCCUGUUUGAGUGUCGUGAACUCCUCCCACUCCGGUUUUCCAGAAUAUGGGAAUUUGGGUGUUGCUGGUCCUGGUAAACCGGCUCGCCUUAAUGCAUUAACGAAACCCUUGCGGCCUUGGGAGGGAUAAUUAUCCCGCCUCGGCUUUACCGACUUU